rnacentral:sRNA from 1 species
GCCGUUUCGGUUCGAUUGGGAUACUCAUCAAUUAACUGUGAAAACCGGGCCGUCUUCCUUUGCCAAUGGCGGGCCACAGUCUGAAAAGACUAGUUCUUAAACCGGUGGAUUACAAAGGCGGGGAGCACCCACAACCUGUAAUAAAGGAGUUUUCAUCACAUCACCUUUGCGGCCCCU